rnacentral:rRNA from 1 species
UGGGGAGUACGGCCGCAAGGUUAAAACUCAAAUGAAUUGACGGGGGCCCGCACAAGCGGUGGAGCAUGUGGUUUAAUUCGAUGCAACGCGAAGAACCUUACCUGGUCUUGACAUCCACAGAACUUUCCAGAGAUGGAUUGGUGCCUUCGGGAACUGUGAGACAGGUGCUGCAUGGCUGUCGUCAGCUCGUGUUGUGAAAUGUUGGGUUAAGUCCCGCAACGAGCGCAACCCUUAUCCUUUGUUGCCAGCGGUCCGGCCGGGAACUCAAAGGAGACUGCCAGUGAUAAACUGGAGGAAGGUGGGGAUGACGUCAAGUCAUCAUGGCCCUUACGACCAGGGCUACACACGUGCUACAAUGGCGCAUACAAAGAGAAGCGACCUCGCGAGAGCAAGCGGACCUCAUAAAGUGCGUCGUAGUCC